ACUAGAUAAUAGGCGUCUGAGUGUGUUUGUGAGGAUACGUGUUUCUUAUCUCUAGUUAGUAUCACCAAGUCACGAGUCUGACGCCCUUCGCUGCAGCUGUCACUCCGUCCUCCACCUCGACCACGUACCCUCUCUCUGUCUGAACAAAUAUCGUAGCUCUGCUAGUCGUCUGAUACAGCCUUUUUCUGGACACGUUUACCGAGAUAACCGACACGGCCAGCACUAAGGCUCAGUAUAAAUCGUGAACCGGGAGCCUAAUAUCAAACAUUAGGUGUAUAGGAUGAAGUCCGGCGGUAGAGUGUGAGCUGUGAGACCUGGGAACUGAGGAAACAUUAGGUGACGGAAUCAGCUGGGGUUGAGAGUCGAAGAUACACUCAACAGUCUUCUCUCCUAAGACGUCACCCCAAACGUCAUCAUGGUGGACGCCAACACCUUCAGACACCCUACUGUCUUCCUAAAACUUGUGGAAAUUAUGCUGCUGAUCAUUGCCAUGGCAACUUUCUUCAGUGUUAUUGGCGGGUGGGGAAUGUACGUGGCCAGCAUCAUCCUCGGCUGCUUCAUUAACGCUCUCAUCAUCUUGGGCCUUUAUCUCAUGGGCUACACCCAAAUUCAGCAGACACCUUUGGAGUCGACUUUGUACCUGUACUAUGGUGUGGGUAUGUUCGUGUCGUCCAUCCUACUGAUGUCGACCCAAUUCUCCACCCUGGUAGCGAGCGGAGUCUUCUGUCUUUUCCUCACACUGGUCUAUGCCCUCGACUUCUACUUCUCCUUCAUGGGGAUGAGAGGCCGCCCUUUGUCCUUCCCCCUGGGUGAAGAUCUCCCUAGGGAUUCUGGUGCCCCGCCUAGCACCAGUAGCCCCCCUGCCAUCUUAGAUCCUUCAGCCCUCCCUCCACCGAGCUAUCCUCAGGCAACAGGAACUGCAGUGGACACCGUGGACAGGGGUGUGAAAAACAUCUCCGUGUUCGAGACUAACCCAAGCUACCCACCCACGAUGGACUUCCAGCCGACCCAAACUAUCUCAGAGCCUUGGAGGCACUCGCCAAGAACUUUGGAUGGACCUCGUCCCUGAGUCCCUUGAUGGUAUGCACUUGUGGAGUAACAAUAUGUACAACGUCUUCACCAAAGGCUAUUUGGUCUUCACUACACAUUUAUCUUACUACAGUACUGUAUAAGAGACUCUUUUUCACUUUUACCAUCAGCAUAAGUCAGGUACUUUUCUUACCUACGUCAGCCAUUUUGGUGAAAACCAAAAUGGCUGACUUUAGGGGUUGUCUGAUCUCAUUAACCAUUAACCACUACCACUCCUUUGGUCAAUAUGUUAACUAUCUAUCAUACAAAUGUCACCGUAACAAGAGAUUAUGGUAAAUUUUAUGGUGUUCUUAAAGUUAAUAUGGAGUGAAUUCCGUAAGGUUCAAACUUAAGAGUGGCAGUCAAGUUAAGUUGUUUCUGUUACAUUCUCAAUAAGCAACGAAUCUGAAUCUUGAUUAUCAUAACAUUGAUUUGGUUGUAAAUGACUUAUGUGGCAACAUAAUAUUAAAGAUAUAAAUUAUAGUUAAUUUGUCGUUAGAUAAUUAAAUAUUACACCGGACCCUGGGGUCUCAAUACAUUUUGGAUUGACUGUACAUGUGUCAUUAAUGAUAACUUCAUUAGAGUGUAUCAUGGACAACGACAAUACAGUAGCCUACAUCUCACUGCGGGUGUAUCACAAGUGUAUUGUUCCUAAACAAUAAUAUAUAGCUUUGUGUUUACAUUUCCCUGAUAAACUCAUACAUCCAAGUCACAGUGUGUACUCCACCUGCGCACAACUGUACUCUUCGAAACUGUAUCAUGUUGUAAUGUACUGUAGGUGUUCGUAUCCUGCUCUCUGAAAGAACGGUUUAUAUACACUUGCAAUUUUGUGGCUUUACUGAUAAAAAGGAACGUCCUAUGUAAUCUGUGUGUUUGUAUGAUUCACAGAACUUACAAUAAUGUUUCACAAACUCAACUGAUAAUCAUUUGAGGUGGCGAGUACAGUUACUAGUCAGCCAACACGCGUACACUGAUGGGACACUAGGUAUUGAUAUUUUUUUUUGUAAUACCUACCUUAUAUACCGGCUUUUAUUGUACCACCAAAACCGUUUUAUCAGAAAUUAUCAUGUAGAGAGAUAGAAAUUACCAUUGCAAUUAUAUAUUUGCCAACUAGACAUACCUGUACAGUACAGUAAUCCUGACAGCUCUGUUCCACCUUAAUACAAACCACGUUGCAAUGAUUCCCUCCCUUAUCAAAUUUAUGUUUUUAAAUUCCGCUGUAAAUUAGGAAUAUACUUAUAAUAUAAAUGUAAAAAAAAUAAUAAAUAUCGAAGAGAUAGCCGUGGUAACAUUCUGAUAUGUUCUUAUUACCACCAUGCUAUGUGUACUAUAACAGUUGAUAUUAAAUGGUACAUACUACUUCCUUGAGAUAAAUGUACGUACAGUAUACUUGUAUAUCAGGUGCCUACAAGAGAGCUCAGGCUCUCAACUGGCACUGCCAUGUUAAUAUUAUGAUUUUUAAUCGACUCUGUAUCUGUGUUCUUCUGGCUAAAUAAACUGUUUCAAUAUCAAUGUUUAAGGUUAUACAUUGUUUGACCUUUAAACUAAAUAUGAAACAUGCAACGUUUACUCUGGCCUUAGUAAUAAGCUAUUGAGUAAAUAAUGGCAAACAAAUGCUGUGGCGAGUGUGGUAUCCAGUGAUCUCGGGACAAAGAGAUAUUAUCUGAAGUGGAGAGAUAACGAAAUUACACACUACCAGCCGAUCACCGAGGAUCAGAGAAGAGAUUCUCUCUCUCGUAGUUCUCAGUCUUCCUGGUGUCUGCGAGACAAACAUUGAUUUUUUUUUCAGUAAACCCCUAUGGGCGAGGCUGGACAGCUUCAACCACGAAGUUACAUUUAUCAGUUCUUGCACGUAAUCCCCUCUGGUUGUUUCUUAGUUCCUCCACGUUGCUUUUCAGGCACUCAAUCUGAAAAGUUAUUCGGAUCCUAUGAAGAUUAAUUAUCAGUUUAUUUCAAUAGAAGAUUAAACACAAUAAAGCUAAUCAAAUCUAGCAUUACCUACUGUAACCCAAGGUACCAUAGAAAACAAGGUGGCUCACGUAUCAAAGAAAACAGAACCUCUAGGAGCUCGGGACGUCACUAGCGCCCAUUUUUCAGGCCGAGUCACAUAUUACCAAGACUAAAUUUUAGCUUCAGUAAUUGUAAUUUCCAUUUAAGUUCUGCUUACAAUGUUUUGAUAGUGGUUAUUUAUGUGUGUGCACAAUCCUUUCAGUCUGACCAGGAGAAUAAUAGUGGGUUGCAUAAGUAGCUUUAAUUACAUUUUAAUCUUAGUGAUUUCUUUGUGGUUUUAUUUUAUAUAAUAUUUAGAUUUCACUUGUUUGUCGAUUUUGCGAUUUUGUUCCGAUAUUUUUUAAUGCUUGUUUUGAGAAUGCGUUUUCUAAAAAAAUGCAAUUUACACCUCCCUCCAACACUCUACUACAGUGCUCUUAUCUAUCGAUACGACCAUUUAAAGACGUGUGAAUGAAGAAAUUAAACUGACCCUCCUUCAAAAGAAGCUACAUAUUCAAAAUUGUUUUGGGAUGUUUAAUUUAACACACAUUAGGCUACAUUGUAUGAUGUAGUUGAAGGAAUAUAGGCUUACCGUUUGAACACGGCAGUUGUAAUGAUGGUAUUGGCCUAUUCUUAAUCCUUACAAGUCUUCCUGGUACUGGUAGUCCAGGCAGUUUAUAUUUAAAGUUUUCCACAAUCGCGCUGGGCUGGCCUCAAAAAGCAAGCUGCAUAUUUGGGUAUUUUCAGCAAUUAUAAAGUCUUUCCUCUUGCACAAGUGAAUCCAUUUUCUUCUCAGUUCUUUAUCGUUCGGAAAACCAUGGAAAGUUAUAUCACCCAUGUUUUUAAUUUGUGAUAAACACCAAAAAACUGAGCAAGCGGUCAACAUGCAUGCCCAGUACUUGAGAACAGUGCGCAUCAGAGACGUAACCGAUCGCCCAAGCGGCUAACGAGCCGAUCAGUGGCGAAGAGGAUAAAGAGGUACUUAAUCAUCAGGUGAAAUAAAUGUUGUUUCCUAAACUUCAUGUAAUAACACUGGAAAGUAAAUAUCAUGACCAAGCAACAAAGAACAGACGACUAAAGUGGUGUUUACUUGUGUUUUAUACGGCCGGUCACUCCUGUGACGUCAUCAGUGUUUACAUGGUGUGGCAGGUGUGAGCAGUGUGUGUCGACUGUCUGAGUGUGUGAACAACAAGGGUUACUUCUAAGUCUUGUUUCGCCUCAAAAUAAGUGUGUGGAUGUGAGGAAGGUACAGCUGCCCAGACUUGUGUAGCAACUCAAGAUAUAUGCUUCAGAUAUGAUGCUGUGGGUUUCACAUGUCACAGAACAUAAAGCAACAUGAAUUUUCGACAAAGGAUGGCAUGGCUGUGCCUUGCAUUUUACUUGGCGUCCUCAGUUGCAGUUGUGUACUAUUUUCUAGAUAUUGCUGAUCAGUAUGCUGUGUUUUCCUUAGAGCAUUCCAAACUGCAUCAUUCAGCAGAUUCUAGUGUACCAGCUUGGCAGUUCUGGCAGCACAUUGGAGACAUUCCAUUCCCAGCUUUAGUUAUUUUAUUAGCUGUUCCUUAUUUUCAAAUUUUUGCUGCUCUUUUUUAUUGCACUCUGCCAACAGCAAAUAAAAAUGUAAACAAGUGCCUUAUACCAGUCAUAGGAUGGAUAUAUUUAUUUCAAAAAGUUAUUUCUGUUUUCAAAAGUCGUGAAAGUGUCAAAUUAGACAGCAGACAAGAUAAUCACAUUGUUAGUUUGUCAUGACUCCUCUUGAGUACUAUGACUUGCACUUCCAUUUUUAAUUUUUAAUGUUUAUUAGGAAUGUGAGAAGUAAAUGUGGAGCACUGUGCAGUAUUUACCCUGGUCCUGUGAGACUCACUUUACAUAAUCUAUUGUUGUAAAACUUCACUGCAUGUGUUUGUUACUUGUGUCUUGUUAAGGUUGAUAAUACAAGCAUUUAUGAUCUGGUUCCCCAAGAGGCAUAUACAGUACUGUACUGAUAUUAUAUAUGUGUCUUUCUUUGGCUACAUCAGUCUUAAAUCAAACUUCUUGGAUACCAUUAUGUAAAACAAAAUAAUUUCACAAAACUACGCAAUAUAGAUUUAGAAUAGAAGAAUGUUUUUAUUGUGUGGUAUAGUUUGUAUUAUUGAACCUUAUAUUAAUUUGUAGGCUUAAUAUGAUAUUUUUUUUACUGUAGUCUUUUGGUGUCAAAUCAGUCAGCAUCUAUUAAAAUGGUACAGUAAGUCCUCGCUUAACGUCGUGGCUACGUUCUUGAAAAGUACAAUGUUAAUUGAAACAAUGUUAACGGAAUAAAUUUUCCCCAUAAGAAAUAGAUAAAAUAUGCUAGUUAGGUAUCCCAGCCUCCCUUUACCCCAUAAAAUACUUUACAUAUACAUCAAGUCAAUGGAAUUUUUUUUUAGAAAAUAUAUAUUAUACAUCCAAAAAGAUAAAUAUUCUAAAUUAUUUUGUAUUGUACUCAUUGAUGGGCAGAGGUGGAGUGAGAGGGUAGUGGAGAGGAAGGUGACGAGUCACUGAGACCCAGAUGUUUAAAACCUCCACAUUCGUAGCAAGGCUAAUGGUCUUGCGUUGCUUCUUCACAUUACUAGCAUAAUUAACACUUGAUGGGCGCUUGGAAGCCAUUUUGAAUGGUUACACUACAGUAUUUAGAGCAAAAACACUAAAGCAUGCACGUACGCUGUGGAAGCCGAACAAAGACUGGGGACACUGUGACGCCCCGCGAGAGAGCGUAGCGCACCAAGAUGAGAGAGGGUGAUGCGCCAUACAAAGUAGUCUGUGUUGGGUGACGACGUUAUAACGAAUCAGUCGUGACGUUGUCGGAAUCAUGGGUAUCUAAAGAGUAGCGACGUUAUAACGAAACAACUUUGUCGGGGACAACGUUAAACGAGGACUUACUGUACCGUAAUUGUAAUUCACUUUGAUGUUAUGGUGUCUGAACUAGGAGUCAACUUUAACAUACAGGAAAAAUAUGUAGUAAUGUAGGUUAUUGUGAGAGGAAUUAUAAUUUUCAAUGCCAAUGUUGAAGGGUAUGGGCCUAGAAGUUGCCAAAAGUAGAUUUUUUUUCAUAAGAAUGGUACAAAGAUUUUAACGGUGAUAGCAGGGAACAUAACGAGCUUGGUAUUGUAGGUACAGUACAGGUAUUGGCAAUCGUUGAAACUUUGCCAUUACCAUUUGAAACAUGUAAACAGAGAUUUAACUCAAGAUUAAAUACACAAUGGAAAGUACAGUAUAUUAUUCAAAUAUGAGAAACACUUCAUUUGUGAAAGUUAGGAAGAAAGGAUAAGGCAUUACCAGUUGGAGAUAGAGUACUGUAUACAGUACAUGAGCCAUAAUGAACUACUGUACUGUUGGAUCAUUAGUGGUGGUUUUUUGUUGUGUUUUUGCACUUAACUUGAUUUGAAUGCUUCUCACAUAUGUAAGCCAUUACUCACUCUUCAUAUACAGUAUAUGAACAACAACAAAAAAUAACUUAAAUGUAAUUAAACAGAAGCUCCUUGUUGUCCAUAUGACUACCUCAAGGUUUGAAGACAUGGUGGAUGUGGAGGUUAUCAGGAAUGUAACCUGUGAUAAGAAUGUAAUUAAUGGUAAUACUCUGAUACAUGGAUGAUCUACGCUCCACCUUGAGUACCUCACUCUCAUCAAGUGAGGAUGGCUUUAAUAUAAACUUUAAAUUGCAUAAUACUCUACAUGCGACAGUUGCAUUUUCAGCCAGGCUGCAGAAAUGUUUAGAUGUGUACAGUAUAUACAAUAUACACUGGACUGUUUCCCAGUAUUCAUAUGAGUAUGUAGCUUUGUUGUUUCACACUUAAAGUGAGAAACAUUUUAGAACAUUAAAAUUCAUAUAAAGGGGGGUAGUUUACAUUAUUUUACUGCUUAAAUCAUUUUUCACCCUCCAUUUCUGUUGGACAUUGGGUGUUUAUGUUAUAUAAAAAUAGGCAUCUAGAAUAGAAGUGACGAACACACCAAGACCCGUUUUGAGGUAAUCACAGUUAAAGUUUUUUAUACCUGUUUCCACACUGAAUUUAUGGCAGGAAGGAAAGUCCAUUUGAAGCCCAAGAAAAACGUUUGAUGAAAAAAUUAAAAUUAGGGGGUGGCAAGUUCGUCACUCUUACUCUAGACACCUCAUCAAUAAUUUUUAUGAUAAGUGCAGGUGUCUCUUUUAAGACAAUAUGGCAUAUUCCUUUUCAUCAGCAUGGCUCAACCCACUAAGAAUGCUGCUGUGUUUGGUAAUGAGUUUUAGGAAAUAAUUUUUCAUUGCUCAAUUAGCUAUUACCAUGAUUAAUACUGUACCAUUGUCUCAGUAAAAGCCAUGGAUACAUGAGGGUGUGUUUCACCCGUAAUUAAUACUGCUGCAUUUUAUGAAUGAUCAUCAUUAAAGUCUGUUGGUUAUCUACUGUGUAUCGAUGCUAUACUGUAUGGGUUUUACGAUGUUUAGAAUUAAAUACUAUUCAGUACAAGCAAACAUGUAUGACAUCUUGCUUCAUGUUAACAAAAAAAAAAAUUGCUGUGUAUGACCAUUGAAGUAAGAGUUAGAUGGUUGUUUGUUUAAAGAUUACUUUAAAUUGGAAGUAUAAAACAAUUUUAUUUUUUAUAGUACAAUAUUCCUUAUCAAAGUUAGUUUUUCGUGUUCAUGUACAAAUUGAAUGAAGUGAUGUAAUUUUAUAGUGAACUUUUGAUGCAAAUCAACUCUUACUUCUAAAAUGCAAUCUAGUCAUGGUUUAUCAAACAUACUGUACUGAUAUUUUCUUUAGCAAUAUCUGGUUGUUCUUAUAAAAGGUGUACUGGUAAGAAAUGCCAUUUUCUAUACUCUGGACAUUCAUUGGGUUAUUGGUAAGAUUGACUGUUCAUCUUGUAUCAAAGGUGUAUCUUGGCUUUAGAAGGUACCGGUAUGUUGCACCCAAUUUGCAGCAAAAUACUAAAAUACUUUAAACAACACAAAUUGUUUUUUGCAAUGUGUGUGAGUAAUUUCUUCAUACUGAAGUUUAAUGUCACUCAUGCCUUGAAGGACAACUCCAAAGGACUAGCACCUAUUAAAUUACACCUAAAGGCUUGAAGCCAGAUAAUAUAUUUACUUGCCAAAAAAUCAUAAAACACAAUUAUUUUUUUUGUAUUUAUUAAAUGAGCUCAGGCUGCAGGAAACAUCACAGACCAUUUGGUGAGCUAGCCAUUUUUCCCAUUGAAUUUUUUUUGUUCUAGAUAGCAAUUAUUGUGUUGAAAAUUUACCCCGAUUCCAUGAGGUUGAAUUUACUGGCCGUAUGCCGUAUUUAGUGGUCAUAAUUUACAAAUUCUGUAUGGCUGAAUUUCUGCAACCUGAGUUUCCAUAACGUGGGAGGUUACCUCUAUAUAAAUUUGCCAAAAAUAAUGUAUCAAUUUUUUUUAUAAUUUUAUGGAAAAUACUUACAAUAUCACAAAAAAGGGGGUCCUGGAGUUGACCUUUAAGUUCACGAUCAUAAUUAUGUAACAUUUAAGAAUAUUAAAUUACAUGUUAGGAAAGUAACCAUUUCAUCUCGUUAUCAAAAUAUGUUUACAUUUUGAAAUAUUUUAGUGCAUACAGAGGCUUUACAGCAAGUGAAAAAUUAACCUUUAAUUUGGCUGGUUCUUCCGAUUGAUGAGCUCCAUGAAUUAUAUUUUCAUCGUCAUCAGUUAAUUUGUAUUAUGUAUGUCCGUCCACAGGUAAUGCUGAUAAUAAUUUUGGUUUGCAGUUGUAGACUAAAUACAGCCUAAUGCAUUUGAUAUGAUAUCGGUUGGAUUUCUCUCAGUGAUAUAUUUUAUUAAAGUGUGAAUAAUAAAUAUACUAUAUACUGUUAUUUACAAGGCCUUUGCAUAUUUAUAGAUGUCAUAAUGGUGUGGUAUAAUUUUUAUUGCGAGUUCCAUAUAAGAUCCAUCUGAAAUUCUCAGAUUCUUAGUAACUGACUCCAACAUCUUUAUGUUGUUUACUAUAAUCUGUGAGAUGACAACCCCCAGGUGAAAAGUGCUAUUUUAAUGCAGGUUAUUGACUUGACAAGUGGUCAGCUCAAUAUGCAUUACAGCAAAAAAAAAAAAAAAAAGGUUCUGGUU
rnacentral:lncRNA from 1 species